UACGUAGGGUGCUAGCGUUGUUCGGAAUUAUUGGGCGUAAAGCGCGUGUAGGUGGUUAGAAAAGUUGGUUGUGAAAUCCCUGGGCUUAACCCAGGAAGUGCAUCCAAAACUCUCUAGCUAGAGGGCGAGAGAGGGAGGUGGAAUUCCUAGUGUAGAGGUGAAAUUCGUAGAUAUUGGGAAGAACACCGGUGGCGAAGGCGGCUCACUGGCCCGUUUCUGACGCUCAGGCGCGAUAGCGUGGGGAUCAAACAGG
rnacentral:rRNA from 1 species